AACGAACGCUGGCGGCAUGCCUAACACAUGCAAGUCGAACGAGACCUUCGGGUCUAGUGGCGCACGGGUGCGUAACGCGUGGGAACCUGCCCUUAGGUUCGGAAUAACUCCCCGAAAGGGGUGCUAAUACCGGAUAAUGUCUUCGGACCAAAGAUUUAUCGCCUUUGGAUGGGCCCGGGUUGGAUUAGCCAGUUGGUAGGGUAAAAGCCUACCAAGGCGACGAUCCAUGGCUGGUCUGAGAGGAUGAUCAGCCACACUGGGACUGAGACACGGCCCAGACUCCUACGGGAGGCAGCAGUGGGGAAUAUUGGGCAAUGGGCGAAAGCCUGAUCCAGCAAUGCCGCGUGAGUGAUGAAGGCCUUAGGGUUGUAAAGCUCUUUUACCCGGGAUGAUAAUGACAGUACCGGGAGAAUAAGCUCCGGCUAACUCCGUG
rnacentral:rRNA from 1 species